rnacentral:other from 1 species
AGUCAUCUGAGUUGUUCGUAAGUUUGCUUUUUAAUUUGGGCCUAACACUCUUUGAUCAAGGGAGCCCAAUGGGUUUUCUUGCAGCGUACACGCCUUAUAUGAUGGACGUACAAAACAAGAAACAGGGCACCCACCUGUAUAUAACAGGCCGAAUGAUCAAGCUAUUAUAACUACGGCAAUACGGACUCUAU